GCGGUCGUGGCGGAACUGGUAGACGCACUACUUUGAGGGGGUAGCGGGGAGACCCGUAUGAGUUCGACUCUCAUCGACCGCACCA
rnacentral:tRNA from 1 species